rnacentral:rRNA from 1 species
UACGUAGGGUGCGAGCGUUGUCCGGAAUUAUUGGGCGUAAAGAGCUCGUAGGCGGCUUGUCGCGUCGGAUGUGAAAGCCCGGGGCUUAACCUCGGGUCUGCAUUCGAUACGGGCAGGCUAGAGUUCGGUAGGGGAGAUCGGAAUUCCUGGUGUAGCGGUGAAAUGCGCAGAUAUCAGGAGGAACACCGGUGGCGAAGGCGGCUCUCUGGGACGGUACUGACGCUGAGACGCGAAAGCGUGGGGAGCGAACAGG